GACAGAGGCCCCGAGCGUUAGGCGGAAUCACUGGGCUUAAAGCGUGUGUAGGCGGACCGGUAAGUACCUUGUGAAAUCCCACGGCUCACCCGUGGAACUGCUGGGUAUACUGCCGGUCUUGGGCCAACUAGGGGCGACUGGAACAAGCGGUGGAGCGGUGAAAUGCGUAGAUAUCGCUUGGAACGCCGACGGUGAAAACAGGUCGCUGGGGUUGUGCCGACGCUGAGACACGAAAGCCAGGGGAGCGAACGGG
rnacentral:rRNA from 1 species